rnacentral:rRNA from 1 species
UACGGGGGGAGCAAGCGUUGUUCGGAUUUACUGGGCGUAAAGGGCGCGUAGGCGGCGUAACAAGUCACUUGUGAAAUCUCCGGGCUUAACCCGGAGCGGCCAAGUGAUACUGUUGUGCUAGAGUGCAGAAGGGGCAACUGGAAUUCUCGGUGUAGCGGUGAAAUGCGUAGAGAUCGGCAGGAACACCCAGGGGGAAACCAGCCGACUGGGCAUCUACUGACGCUGAGGUGCGAGAGCGUGGGGAGCGAACCGG